GGGAGUCUUCGCUGAAAGCUGCCAAAAGCUGCUGUGCUUGUCUUCCUCCUUUCCCCAUCCCCACGCCCUUUCCGCAGGCGGAGUGUGCGUGGCCGCUGAUACUGUGAAUCCUGCGUGUUUUCCGUAAGGGGUACACAAACUGGUGAGGCGUCCUCUGUCCGUGUGGUCUCUGGUGGCUAAAAUAAAGCGAGGGAUGUUCCUUCAAGGACUGCGGUAGCCAUCUGAGCGGCUAACCAGGCCUGGUUAACGGCCAUGUCCCAUCCCACCUCCAGCCACCCUGGGGAAACCUCCCAGCGCCUUGGCCUCCCUGUUAGGGCUCUGACACAAGCUGGAAAAGUCCCAGAUCUGACUAGCAACUACAAGAAGGCUAAAUUCACUGUGUGUCUGGGUGUGAGUUUGUUUGAAAGGCAAGGUGAUAAGUUUGAAAAACAGGAUUUCAGUGGGCAAAGUGAGUUCUCCGAAGAGCAAAGGUUUGGCGGUCUGAGUGGUGGAGUUGGGCAAGGAGCAGCGCGGCGAGCGGCUCCUGGUGCUUCAACACCCCAGGCAGCCCUUGCUGUCUCUCGUUUAACUUUCGUUCGUUCAGCCCCGGUUUUCCAGCCUGCCGCCCUCAGGGGCUCUUACAGACGGGACGCCUUGGGUUGCCGCUUGGAGGACUGAUUUGCUCUGACGCCUCAUCUCUUAAGCAUUACUGGAUUCACAGAGGGGAACACGUGGCAGAGGACGAUGCUCGAACCGGCGGCAUGGGCCCAGAGCUGUUUGGCUACGCAGGCGCUGCUUUGGUCAGAGGUGUAAGUGGCUGAGGUGGCCACAGUGAAGAGCAAGACUGCCAUGUGGGGCCUAAAGGCUUGUCUACAAAGGGCGGUCAGUGCAGAAUAAGACGGCAAAUUGGUAUGCAAUAGCCAUGGUGCUGCAAAUUGCAGCUCUAGCUUAUUUUGUAUGAGCUUCCCAUUAUGGACAAUGCCCGAAAGUCAGCAUAAUUAAGAACCUGGCUCCUUGAGAUACUUUGUUAAAUAGGAUUUAGCCAUCUAAGUUGCUGGGGUUUUUGCUGCUGAGGUUUUUGCACGCUGAGUGGAACGAUGCCCAAAUUCCCUUAUGAAUCUGGGCCUGUGUCCCAUAUGCAGUCCUUUCUGUGGCGUAGUGAAGCCUCCUUUGAGAAUCACAUUGGAGAAAUAAUGCGGAGCAGGAAGCCAGACACCUGAGCCUUUGACUCAGAAAACGGACAAUAACAUGAUUCCUAUUCCUGUCUGACAAGAAAAAUUUGGCAGAAUAGGAAAAAGCAGCGCAGCAAAUAGCUGGAACGACCAGCUCCAUGCUGCUGGAAAUGACACUAAUAUUUUCCCUUCAUAAUUUCCCUCCUGCUCUUUCCCUUAGGCAGCCUGCUAGCCCUCUCAGAUGCACUGUCCUCGCAGUGAGGCCGUUGUGCAUUUGAAUACGAGAGAUGGUGGCUGGUGUGAGGGAAAAACGAUUUGACCGUCCUUGCCUGGACAAAACUGACUUCACCAAACAGGUGCUUCCAAAAUGUUCUUUUAAGAAAGUAAGGGCUGGUAUUAGUAAAACCACAAGCCUGACUCUUUUUUUGUGAGUAAAGCUGUGCAAAGCAAAUCUGAUACAUGAACCUGCAGUGCCCCGAGACAACCAGCUCAGAAAAAUGGAAUAAAA
rnacentral:lncRNA from 1 species